AGUCCUGUAGCUCAGUGGUUAGAAGCACUCACCUCGAAAGUGAGAGACCUGGGUUCGAUUCCGAGCAGGACGA